UAUUUUUAUUUCGUAUUUUUGUUGUGAAAGUUAAUUAAAGUUAGAUCACCUUUGUAACUUAUCCUUUAUCGUAUUUAUUGACAAUUUGUAUUUAUUGUUUGCCUUGUGUAACCUAAAGUGAUUAAUAAAUACAGAUUUUGAUAUUAUGUUACCAUUUCAUCCCAUGGGCUACAUUUAGUAAACCACUUUGUAAACUUUUUCCACGAGUGCUACAAUCUCUAUCGUUAUUUAUUACCUUAUGUUUAGGGGUUAAAUUAGG